AUCCAGCUGACGAGUCCCAAAUAGGAUGAAGGGACGGGCAUCCUGUAU
rfam:Schistosoma rodhaini strain Burundi genome assembly, scaffold: SROB_scaffold0003417